rnacentral:rRNA from 1 species
AAGGAAUAUUGCUCAAUGGGAGAAAUCCUGAAGCAGCAACGCCGCGUGGCGGAUGAAGGGUCUAUGACUUGUAAACUCCUGUAAAGAAGGAAAAAAUUCCCAUUAGAUGGGAGAUGAUGGUACUUCUGGAGUAAGCCCCGGCUAACUACGUGCCAGCAGCCGCGGUAAUACGUAGGGGGCAAGCGUUGUCCGGAUUUACUGGGUGUAAAGGGUGCUCAGGCGGAUUUGUAAGUCAGAGGUGAAAUCUUACAGCUUAACUGUGAAACUGCCUUUGAUACUGCAAACCUAGAGUAUGGAAGAGAGUGAUGGAAUAUCUGGUGUAGCAGUGAAAUGCGUAGAUAUCAGAUGGAACACCAAUGGCGAAGGCAGUCACUUGGUCCAUUACUGACGCUAAAGCACGAAAGCGUGGGUAGCAAACA